GAUCAUGGCUCAGAUUGAACGCUGGCGGCAGGCCUAACACAGUGCAAAGGUCGAACGGUAACGAGGAAGAAGCUUGCUUCUUUGCUGACGAGCGGCGGACGGGUGAGUAAUGUCUGGGAAACUGCCUGAUGAGGGGGAUAACUACUGGAAACGGUAGCUAAUACCGCAUAACGUCGCAAGACCAAAGAGGGGGACCUUCGGGCCUCUUGCCAUCGGAUGUGCCCAGAUGGGAUUAGCUAGUAGGUGGGGUAACGGCUCACCUAGGCGACGAUCCCUAGCUGGUCUGAGAGGAUGACCAGCCACACUGGAACUGAGACACGGUCCAGACUCCUACGGGAGGCAGCAGUGGGGAAUAUUGCACAAUGGGCGCAAGCCUGAUGCAGCCAUGCCCGCGUGUAUGAAGAAGGCCUUCGGGUUGUAAAGUACUUUCAGCGGGGAGGAAGGGAGUAAAGUUAAUACCUUUGCUCAUUGACGUUACCCGCAGAAGAAGCACCGGCUAACUCCGUG
rnacentral:rRNA from 1 species